rnacentral:rRNA from 1 species
GAUGAACGCUGGCGGCGCGCCUAACACAUGCAAGUCGAACGAUUAAAGCACCUUCGGGUGUGUAUAAAGUGGCGAACGGCCGAGUAACACGUGGGCAACCUGCCCCUUUCAUUGGGAUAGCCACGGGAAACCGUGGAUAAUACCGAAUACUUCGAGACUUCCGCAUGGAAGACUCGAGAAAGCUCCGGCGGAGAGGGAUGGGCCCGCGGCCUGUUAGCUUGUUGGUGGGGUAACGGCCUACCAAGGCAAUGAUGGGUAGCUGGGUUGAGAGACCGACCAGCCAGAUUGGGACUGAGACACGGCCCAGACUCCUACGGGAGGCAGCAGUGGGGAAUCUUGCACAAUGGGCGAAAGCCUGAUGCAGCGACGCCGCGUGCGGGAUGAAGGCCUUCGGGUUGUAAACCGCUUUCAGCAGGGACGAGGCGAAAGUGGCGGUACCUGCAGAAGAAGCCCCGGCUAACUACGUG